rnacentral:snoRNA from 14 species
GACAUGAACGAUCUAAAUCUUCGAGAUUGUAAAUGUCGUUGUAUGGAAAUCUACAUUUGAGAUGUUGCGAGUUAGAGGAGGCCUCUACUUUGCGUUAGAAAGAGAGAAACA